rnacentral:rRNA from 1 species
UUUCCGGUUGAUCCUGCCAGAGGUUACUGCUAUCGAGAUUCGAUUAAGCCAUGCGAGUUAAAUGUUCUUCGUGAACAUGGCGGACUGCUCAGUAACACGUGGACAACCUACCCUUGGAUCUGGGAUAAACCCGGGAAACUGGGCAUAAUACCGGAUAAGCCACAUAUGCUGGAAUGCUUUGUGGCUCAAAGCUCCGGCGUCCAAGGAUGGGUCUGCGGCCUAUCAGGGUAGUAGUGGGUGUAAUGUACCUACUAGCCUACGACGGGUACGGGUUGUGAGAGCAAGAGCCCGGAGAUGGAUUCUGAGACACGAAUCCAGGCCCUACGGGGUGCAGCAGGCGCGAAAACUUUACAAUGCGGGAAACCGCGAUAAGGGAAUCUCGAGUGCCAGCAUAUAAUGUUGGCUGUCCAGAUGCCUAAAAAGCAUUUGUUAGCAAGGGCCGGGCAAGACCGGUGCCAGCCGCCGCGGUAACACCGGCGGCCCGAGUGGUAACCGUUAUUAUUGGGUCUAAAGGGUCUGUAGCCGGCCGAAUAAGUCUCUUGGGAAACCUGGCAGCUUAACUGUCAGGCAGUCAGGGGAUACUGUUCGGCCCGGGACCGGGAGAGGUGAGAGGUACCUCGGGGGUAGGGGUGAAAUCUUGUGAUCCUCGAGGGACCACCAGUGGCGAAGGCGUCUCACCAGAACGGGUCCGACGGUAAGGGACGAAAGCUAGGGGCACGAACCGGAUUAGAUACCCGGGUAGUCCUAGCCGUAAACGAUGCUUGCUAGGUGUCAGCCACGGUGCGACCGUGGUUGGUGCCGUAGGGAACCCGUGAAGCGAGCCACCUGGGAAGUACGGCCGCAAGGCUGAAACUUAAAGGAAUUGGCGGGGGAGCACUACAACGGGUGGAGCUGCGGUUUAAUUGGAUUCAACGCCGGG